rnacentral:rRNA from 1 species
UUGAGUUUGAUCAUGGCUCAGGACGAACGCUGGCGGCGUGCUUAACACAUGCAAGUCGAACGGUGAAGGGGGAGCUUGCUCCUUUGGAUCAGUGGCGAACGGGUGAGUAACACGUGAGUAACCUGCCCUUCACUCUGGGAUAAGCGCUGGAAACGGCGUCUAAUACUGGAUACGACCUUCGGAGGCAUCUCCUGGGGGUGGAAAGAUUUUUUGGUGGGGGAUGGACUCGCGGCCUAUCAGCUUGUUGGUGAGGUAAUGGCUCACCAAGGCGACGACGGGUAGCCGGCCUGAGAGGGUGACCGGCCACACUGGGACUGAGACACGGCCCAGACUCCUACGGGAGGCAGCAGUGGGGAAUAUUGCACAAUGGGCGCAAGCCUGAUGCAGCAACGCCGCGUGAGGGAUGACGGCCUUCGGGUUGUAAACCUCUUUUGGCAGGGAAGAAGCGAAAGUGACGGUACCUGCAGAAAAAGG